GCUGGUUGGAGAUAUGCACGCAGUCUAUGAUGUCUCCGUCUGGACUCUGUCGAGUUCAUUUUACUCAUAAUCAGUACUGCGAUGCUAGUUUUAUCUCUGGACAUGAAAGAUGUUCUCAUCCGCGGCAGGCAGGAUGGAUGAGGGGAAAAGAGAGAGAGAGAGAGAGAGAGAGAGAGAGAGAGAGAGAGAGAGAGAGAGAGCGGUGAAAACUCCUUGUCCAAGCAAUGCUCCAUUGAGAUGUCACGGAAAACGUCUCUAGCUUGGAGCUCAAUGAACCAAAGGAGAGGAAGCCAUGAAUAAAAACUCGUCCAAAAAGCGACACUUUCCCCUCCCGCGACGGAAGGAAAGCGAGCCCGGUGGCACGGGGCCCGAUGGUCCAGGAGGAGGAGGAGGAGCAGCCAUUCAACCCUUCCAAAGCGACCAAGCAGACGACCAAGCGCGCGCAAGAACCCUGCCACCUGCCUUGGAAAGGGGCGGCCUUUCGCCUGCUCCUACUACUUCCCGUGCCAAAAUGCAUGGAAUCGACUUGCUUGUUGGAAUCACUCUCAAGCAAUGUCCCGCAAUAACAAUCCGAAGAAGAAAAAAAAAAAGACCUCUUUGCGACGGGAAUGCGAAGCGCAUGGCCAUGGAUGGAACGAAGCGGCGGAGGAGACGGGCAGCAGUACAGUACCUCGAUGGUGGCGAGCGGCGCCUU
rnacentral:misc_RNA from 1 species